rnacentral:rRNA from 1 species
UACGUAGGGAGCAAGCGUUGUCCGGAAUCAUUGGGCGUAAAGCGCGCGUAGGCGGCCCGGUAAGUCCGUUGUAAAAGUCGAAGGCUCAACCUUCGAAGCCGGUGGAUACUGUCGGGCUAGAGUACGGAAGAGGCGAGUGGAAUUCCUGGUGUAGCGGUGAAAUGCGCAGAUAUCAGGAGGAACACCGGUGGCGAAGGCGGUGGUCUGGGCCGGCACUGACGCUGAGGAGCGAAAGCGUGGGGAGCAAACAGG